AUUGAACGCUGGCGGCAGGCCUAACACAUGCAAGUCGAGCGGAUGAAGGGAGCUUGCUCCUGGAUUCAGCGGCGGACGGGUGAGUAAUGCCUAGGAAUCUGCCUGGUAGUGGGGGAUAACGUCCGGAAACGGGCGCUAAUACCGCAUACGUCCUGAGGGAGAAAGUGGGGGAUCUUCGGACCUCACGCUAUCAGAUGAGCCUAGGUCGGAUUAGCUAGUUGGUGGGGUAAAGGCCUACCAAGGCGACGAUCCGUAACUGGUCUGAGAGGAUGAUCAGUCACACUGGAACUGAGACACGGUCCAGACUCCUACGGGAGGCAGCAGUGGGGAAUAUUGGACAAUGGGCGAAAGCCUGAUCCAGCCAUGCCGCGUGUGUGAAGAAGGUCUUCGGAUUGUAAAGCACUUUAAGUUGGGAGGAAGGGCAGUAAGUUAAUACCUUGCUGUUUUGACGUUACCAACAGAAGAAACACCGGCUAACUUCGU
rnacentral:rRNA from 1 species